GGCGGCAGGCUUAACACAUGCAAGUCGAGCGGGGAAGGGUAGCUUGCUACCUGACCUAGCGGCGGACGGGUGAGUAAUGCUUAGGAAUCUGCCUAUUAGUGGGGGACAACAUUCCGAAAGGAAUGCUAAUACCGCAUACGCCCUACGGGGGAAAGCAGGGGAUCUUCGGACCUUGCGCUAAUAGAUGAGCCUAAGUCAGAUUAGCUAGUUGGUGGGGUAAAGGCCUACCAAGGCGACGAUCUGUAGCGGGUCUGAGAGGAUGAUCCGCCACACUGGGACUGAGACACGGCCCAGACUCCUACGGGAGGCAGCAGUGGGGAAUAUUGGACAAUGGGCGAAAGCCUGAUCCAGCCAUGCCGCGUGUGUGAAGAAGGCCUUUUGGUUGUAAAGCACUUUAAGCGAGGAGGAGGCUACCGAGAUUAAUACUCUUGGAUAGUGGACGUUACUCGCAGAAUAAGCACCGGCUAACUCUGUGCCAGCAGCCGCGGUAAUACAGAGGGUGCGAGCGUUAAUCGGAUUUACUGGGCGUAAAGCGUGCGUAGGCGGCUUUUUAAGUCGGAUGUGAAAUCCCUGAGCUUAACUUAGGAAUUGCAUUCGAUACUGGGAAGCUAGAGUAUGGGAGAGGAUGGUAGAAUUCCAGGUGUAGCGGUGAAAUGCGUAGAGAUCUGGAGGAAUACCGAUGGCGAAGGCAGCCAUCUGGCCUAAUACUGACGCUGAGGUACGAAAGCAUGGGGAGCAAACAGGAUUAGAUACCCUGGUAGUCCAUGCCGUAAACGAUGUCUACUAGCCGUUGGGGCCUUUGAGGCUUUAGUGGCGCAGCUAACGCGAUAAGUAGACCGCC
rnacentral:rRNA from 1 species